UACGGAGGGGGCGAGCGUUUUUCGGAAUCACUGGGCGUAAAGCGUACGUAGGCUGUCUUGUAAGUCAGGAGUGAAAUCCCAGGGCUUAACCCUGGAAUUGCUUUUGAUACUGCAGGACUGGAGUCCGGGAGAGGCUAGUGGAAUACCCUGUGUAGAGGUGAAAUUCGCAGAUAUUGGGUGGAACACCAGUGGCGAAGGCGCCUAGGUGGACCGGUACUGACGCUGGGGUACGAAAGCGUGCGGAGCAAACAGG
rnacentral:rRNA from 1 species